GUCCCGUUAGCUCAGCUGGUAGAGCACUUGACUUUUAAUCAAGGUGUCGAAGGUUCGACUCCUUCACGGGAUA
rnacentral:tRNA from 1 species